rnacentral:rRNA from 1 species
GACGAACGCUGGCGGCGUGCUUAACACAUGCAAGUCGAACGGAAAGGCCCUGCUUUUGUGGGGUGCUCGAGUGGCGAACGGGUGAGUAACACGGGAGUAACCUGCCCUGGACUUUGGGAUAACUUCAGGAAACUGGGGCUAAUGCCGGAUAGGAGCUCCUGCUGCAUGGUGGGGGUUGGAAAGUUUCGGCGGUUGGGGAUGGACUCGCGGCUUAUCAGCUUGUUGGUGGGGUAGUGGCUUACCAAGGCUUUGACGGGUAGCCGGCCUGAGAGGGUGACCGGCCACAUUGGGACUGAGAUACGGCCCAGACUCCUACGGGAGGCAGCAGUGGGGAAUAUUGCACAAUGGGCGGAAGCCUGAUGCAGCAACGCCGCGUGCGGGAUGACGGCCUUCGGGUUGUAAACCGCUUUCGCCUGUGACGAAGCGUGAGUGACGGUAAUGGGUAAAGAAGCACCGGCUAACUACGUG